rnacentral:rRNA from 1 species
CCCUUAGAUGUUCUGGGCCGCACGCGUGCUACACUGAGUGGAUCAGCGGGUCAGGUUGCGCGAAAGUGUUUCCUAAUCUUGAAAUCCGCUCGUGAUGGGGAUUGACGGUUGCAAUUUUCCGUCAUGAACGAGGAAUACCUUGUAAGCGUGGGUCAUCAUCCCGCGCUGAAUACGUCCCUGCCCUUUGUACACACCGCCCGUCGCUCCUACCGAUUGAGUGGUCCAGUGAGGCUUUGGGAUCUGAGCGGAAAGAGCGUUUCGCUGUUUCUGCUCGGAAAACUCAGUCGAACCUUAUCAUUUAGAGGAAGGAGAAGUCGUAACA